AUUGAACGCUGGCGGCAUGCUUUACACAUGCAAGUCGGACGAGUGGCGAACGGGUGAGUAACGCAUCGGAACGUACCGAGUAAUGGGGGAUAACUGCCGGAAAGGCAGGUUAAUACCGAAUAUUAUCGGGGCGGCCGAUGUCGGAUUAGCGGGUUGGCGGGGUAAAGGCCCACCAAGGCGACGAUCAGUAGCGGGUCUGAGAGGAUGAUCCGCCACACUGGGACUGAGACACGGCCCAGACUCCUACGGGAGGCAGCAGUGGGGAAUUUUGGACAAUGGGCGCAAGCCUGAUCCAGCCAUGUCGCGUGUCUGAAGAAGGCCUUCGGGUUGUAAAGGACUUUUGUCAGGGAAGCGGUACCUGAAGAAUAAGCACCGGCUAACUACGUGCCAGCAGCCGCGGUAAUUC
rnacentral:rRNA from 1 species